rnacentral:rRNA from 1 species
CGGCGUGGAUUAGGCAUGCAAGUCGCGCGACAAGGUUUGCUCAGCUUGCUAAGCGAACCGGAGGAGCGGCGAAAGGAGAGUAACGCGUGGGUAUCUACCCCCUGGUCUGGGAUAGCGGCGGGAAACUGCCGGUAAUACCGGAUAAAGUCUCCGGACCAAAGGAGCAAUUCGCCGGGGGAUGAGCCCGCGUCCUAUUAGCUUGUUGGCGGGGUAAUGGCCCACCAAGGCGAAGAUGGGUACCGGGUGUGAGAGCAUGGCCCGGCUCACUGGGACUGAGACACUGCCCAGACACCUACGGGUGGCUGCAGUCGAGAAUCUUCCGCAAUGGACGCAAGUCUGACGGAGCGACGCCGCGUGCGGGAUGAAGGCCUUCGGGUUGUAAACCGCUGUCAGAGGGGAACAAAUCUACUUCGGUAGUUGAGUGAUCCUCAGAGGAAGUACGGGCUAAGUUCGUG